rnacentral:rRNA from 1 species
AUUGAACGCUGGCGGCAUGCCUUACACAUGCAAGUCGAACGGCAGCACGGGUGCUUGCACCUGGUGGCGAGUGGCGAACGGGUGAGUAAUACAUCGGAACGUACCUUAUCGUGGGGGAUAACGCAGCGAAAGCUGUGCUAAUACCGCAUACGCCCUGAGGGGGAAAGCGGGGGAUCGCAAGACGUCGCGCGAUUAGAGCGGCCGAUGCCUGAUUAGGUUGUUGGUGGGGUAAAAGCCCACCAAGGCGACGAUCAGUAGCUGGUCUGAGAGGACGAUCAGGCACACUGGGACUGAGACACGGCCCAGGCUCCUACGGGAGGCAGGAGUGGGGAAGUUUGGACAAUGGGGGCAACCCUGAUCCAGCAAUGCCGCGUGAGUGAAGAAGGCCUUCGGGUUGUAAAGCUCUUUUGUCAGGGAAGAAACACCGGCUCUAACACAGCCCGGGAAUGACGGCACCUGAAGAAUAAGCACCGGCUAACUACGUGCCAGCCGCCGCGGUAA